CAGAGUUCACGCGAUGAGGCUCGCAGAAUGCCGCGCGUCGGCUGAUAGCCUCUACGGAAAA
rnacentral:ncRNA from 1 species